rnacentral:rRNA from 1 species
CUGGCGGCGUGCUUAACACAUGCAAGUCGAACGCGAAAGGGACUUCGGGUCCUGAGUAAAGUGGCGGCACGGGUGAGUAACGCGUAGAUAACCUGUCUUCAUGUCUGGAAUAAUACGCCGAAAGGGGUACUAAUACCGGAUAUUCUUGCUUUUCAUAAGUUAUGCAAGCAAAGGUGGCCUCUGCAUAUGCUACUGCAUGAAGAGGGGUCUGCGUACCAUUAGCUAGUAGGUGGGGUAAUGGCCUACCUAGGCGACGAUGGUUAGCGGGUCUGAGAGGAUGAUCCGCCACACUGGCACUGGAACACGGGCCAGACUCCUACGGGAGGCAGCAGUGAGGAAUAUUGCGCAAUGGGGGAAACCCUGACGCAGCGACGCCGCGUGAGUGAGGAAGGCCUUCGGGUCGUAAAGCUCUGUCAAGAGGAAAGAAGUGUACAAUGGCUAAUACCUGUUGUAUUUGACGGUACCUCUAAAGGAAGCACCGGCUAACUCCGUGCCAGCCGCCGC